rnacentral:rRNA from 1 species
UUCGACUGUUUACCAAAAACAUAGCUUCAUCCUACUAAUAUGAGGUGCAACCUGCUCAAUGGUUGGUAAUAAAAUUAAAAAAUUAUAAUAACAAUUAAAUAGCCGCGGUAACUCUGACCGUGAUAAAGUAGCAUAAUCAUUUGUCACUUAAUUAGUGACUGGAAUGAAUGGUUAAACGAAUCUCUAACUGUCUCAACAAGAAAUUUGACAAAAUUAAAAUUAUAGUGAAGAUGCUAUAAAUAAAUUGCAAGACGAAAAGACCCUAUCGAGCUUUACUGAAUAUUUGUAAAAAUUAAUACCCUAUAAUAAUAUAAGUAAUUUAAUAAGCAAGUAAGACAGUUUGGUUGGGGCGACCACCUCUAAAAUAGUAACAGAGGAGAUCUAAAGGUAAGAUUUAUGAAAACUAACUUUACUGAAAUAACAAUAAUUUAAUCAGUUACUCACAAAGUAGGACAUAAUGACCCGUUAUAUUGUAUGUAACAUAUAACGACUACAAAAUAAGUUACCGUAGGGAUAACAGGGUAAUAGUUUUCAAGAGUUCAUAUCGACGAAACUGUUUGCCACCUCGAUGUUGAAUUAUGAUAUCCUAAAGGUGUAGCAGCUUUUGAGGGUUGGUCUGUUCGACCAUAAAAAUCUUACAUGAUU